UUCCUCAUCCACAGCGAUGGAGAAUGGCCCCACUGGUUGCCAUGGCUCCUUGCAGCAAUGCAUCUCAAUUUUUGUGCUUGAGCGUACUGAAGUGAAUUUAAAAAAAAAAAGGAUUACUUUGAUGCAGGGUUGAGGAGCUCGGCCUCUUCCUAGGAAAGAUGCUUCGAUGGAUGUAGCAACACACUGAUGCAGGUUGCCGAAGGGUUUCAGUGUCCAGCUGCUCACUGCUCAUCGUUCCCCUCUCUACUGGUCAGUUGUGUGAAUGCACAAAUGAAAAAAACACAAACGCUCAAUGAGAGUGUGGAGUUUAGGGUUUAGUUUGAGUUUAGUUCAAUCACGUUUCAAGAUCUCAAGAUUUACUAUUUGGUUGUUUGUAUGGUUGACAGCCAUAUUCCAAAGUAUCCUGCAAUUUCUCAGACUUCCCAACUCUUAAGUCAAUAGUAGUUUAUGCUUAUUUUUGUGUUUUAAUAGUUACAUUAUGGCUUAACCAAUGGGCCAUAGUAAAUGGGCAAAAACACUGGUUGAUCCGCCUAUAUGUACAUCACCUUUUCCUUCUUACUUUAUUUUCCUCAAGUAAAGACUAAUCUAAUCCGAGGAAUAAACUUCAUUAGAUGAUGAUGUAAAUGAGAAGCAGAACUGGAUCCAGAUUCCUUCCACUUACUAAUAUGACACAGUUUGGCUGUUUCAAUAAGUGUAAAUGUAUCGUCAAUAUGUGUAAGAUGCCAUUUUCUUUCACAAUUAAAAUGAGAAUUAAAUUAAUUUAAAAAGUGAAACUCAAAAUUUGUAUCAGUUUUAGGAUUUAAAUUAAUAAAAUAAUUAAUGUAAAUGUAAUACAGGAUACAUUUUGUAUAAUGUAAAAUAUCUUAAAUAUGAGGUAAUCCACAUUCCUCGUGCGAUGAGUCAUUUGACUUUAAGAUCUGCGGGGGAAUCUUUAGUGU